UGAAUGAUACUUUCGUCUACGUUGCUUGGACUCUUCAAAAAUGACGUCAAAUGUGUGUCGAAUCCUUUAAAAGUAGUGAGUUUUUACUAUUUCCUCUUGUUCACUGAUCGGAUUGUUCGGAAAAACACUCUUUGAGCCUGUUUGGACUUUGAUAGGGAUUUGACAUUAAAGACUUUCCUGGUUAUGGUCCAAUGACUACCAUACACCCCAUGACACCCUCUGAAGUUAUAAAGGGUUAUGCUGCACAGGCACUUGAGCUGUACAAUGAGGAUAAUGGGACUAAAUAGGAGGUCUAUGAGAUUGUCAAGGUUAAUAUAUUUUCAAUCUUUGAAGUGCGUAAUCAUUAGGCCAAGGGAGAAGGGAGGUUCGGACAUAUAGUGUGAAGUCAGUGCAUUGUUUUGCCUCGGGUUCAAGCUUUUGCUUCUCUUGUCAAUGUUGGACAGCGUUACUAGUAAAUUGUGCCCUUGUUUUCAGUUAGUUUUUGUCAUCAUGGUUUAGUUGCUAGUGGAUUAUCUAUGUCUAGUGUAAAAAGGAGAGAGAACAAAUGUGGCUGAAGACUACUGUUAUAACUUAUGGAAGAUUGUUCCUUUUAAGUUUUAAGACAAUAUAACUGUGUUUUUUUAUUAUUA